rnacentral:rRNA from 1 species
GCACGCCGCUCAGAACUACAAAGAAGUGACGGGGCCCGCACAAGCGGUGGAGUAUGUGGUUAAUUCGAUGCAACGCGAAGAACCUUACCUGGUCUUGACAUCCCGGAGACCCUUAGGAAACUAGGGGUGCUUCCAUCUGGAAGAAUCUGGAGACAGGUGCUGCAUGGCUGUCGUCAGCUCGUGUCGUGAGAUGUUGGGUUAAGUCCCGCAACGAGCGCAACCCUUGCCUUUAGUUGCCAGCAGUUCGGCUGGGCACUCUAAAGGGACUACCGGUGUUAAACCGGAGGAAGGUGGGGAUGACGUCAAGUCCUCAUGGCCUUUAUGACCAGGGCUACACACGUACUACAAUGGCCGAUACAAAGGGCAGCGACACUGCGAGGUGAAGCCAAUCCCGUAAAAUCGGUCUCAGUCCGGAUUGGAGUCUGCAACUCGACUCCAUGAAGUUGGAAUCGCUAGUAAUCGUGGAUCAGCAUGCCACGGUGAAUACGUUCCCGGGCCUU